UACAGAGGUCCCAAGCGUUGUUCGGAUUCACUGGGCGUAAAGGGUGCGUAGGCGGGUCUUUAAGUCAGGGGUGAAAUCCUGGAGCUCAACUCCAGAACUGCCUUUGAUACUGGCGAUCUCGAGUCCGGGAGAGGUGAGUGGAACUGCGAGUGUAGAGGUGAAAUUCGUAGAUAUUCGCAAGAACACCAGUGGCGAAGGCGGCUCACUGGCCCGGUACUGACGCUGAGGUGCGAAAGCGUGGGGAGCAAACAGG
rnacentral:rRNA from 1 species